rnacentral:rRNA from 1 species
GACGAACGCUGGCGGCGUGCUUAAUACAUGCAAGUCUAAGGGUUUAUCUUCCUUCGGGAAGAUAGACACUGGCGCACGGGUGAGUAACACGUAAGUCAUCUGCCCUUGGGUCUGGCACAACUCCGGGAAACCGGGGCUAAUUCCAGAUGAUACCGAAAGGUCAAAGUUUCGACGCCCAAGGAUGAGCUUGCGUCUGAUUAGCUAGUUGGCGGGGUAAUGGCCCACCAAGGCGACGANCAGUAGCCGGUCUGAGAGGAUGAUCGGCCACAUUGGGACUGAGACACGGCCCAGACUCCUACGGGAGGCAGCAGUAAGGAAUAUUGCGCAAUGGACGAAAGUCUGACGCAGCAACGCCGCGUGCAGGAUGACGGCCCUUUGGGUUGUAAACUGCUGUAGCAGGGGAAUAAGAGCCCACGUCGGUGGGUGUGAAGGUACCCUGAAAGUAAGCUCCGGCUAACUACGUGCCAGCCGCCGCAGUAAC